AACGCACAUUGCGCUCCUUGGUAUCCCGAGGAGCAUGCCUGUUUGAGAACCGAAACGUCCUUCACACCCAAGAUUUUUUGUGCAAACGAAUGAUCUCGGGAGUGGAUCUGAGCGUUCUGACUGGCCUCGGUCGAUCAGUCGCUUGAAAAUCAGCAAUCGAAAGGUGUCUCUGCCUAGCUACGAGUGCGAUAAGACGUGCCAAUGUGGGUUUCACGACCCCUUCAACGUCGAAAACGCGUAAAAAACUCGCAGCGACGGCUUUGACGCGUAAGCCUUGCGAUUCAAAUGACGCCAGGCAUUGGUCUUCCUUCGCGGAAGCCGAUGUAUACCUGAACUAUGGUCUCAAAUCAAGCAAGAAGACCCGCUGAACUUAA
rnacentral:misc_RNA from 1 species